GAAAUGCGAUAAGUAGUGUGAAUUGCAGAACUCCGUGAAUCAUCGAAUGUUUGAACGCACAUUGCGCUUUGCAGAUGAGAGUCUGCGAAGCAUGCCUGUUUGAGCGUCCCAACCAUCAUCACCCAUCUAGGGUGGAAGAUGAGCGUCUGUCUCGAAGAGGGGGCAGUUGCUUGAAGGACAUGAGAGAAGAACGCACGAUUAGCAAAAGAAGCCGACACAGAAGCCGACGGCGCACUGCGCACAGAAGGUGAAUACCACACAGUCUGGGCGACAGCUGCACUAAUAGGCAGUGGCUGGCCGAUCGCAAGGACCUCAAAUCAGGCAAGACCACCCGCUGAACUUAA
rnacentral:misc_RNA from 1 species